rnacentral:rRNA from 1 species
AGCAGCCGCCGCGGUAAUACGGAGGGAGCUAGCGUUAUUCGGAAUUACUGGGCGUAAAGCGCACGUAGGCGGCUUUGUAAGUUAGAGGUGAAAGCCUGGAGCUCAACUCCAGAAUUGCCUUUAAGACUGCAUCGCUUGAAUCCAGGAGAGGUGAGUGGAAUUCCGAGUGUAGAGGUGAAAUUCGUAGAUAUUCGGAAGAACACCAGUGGCGAAGGCGGCUCACUGGACUGGUAUUGACGCUGAGGUGCGAAAGCGUGGGGAGCAAACAGGAUUAGAUACCCGCGUAGUCCCUGUCUCUUAUAC